rnacentral:rRNA from 1 species
GAUGCGCUUUUGGAGAGACUUGUGUCCUAUCAGGCAGUUGGUGAGGUGAAAGCUCACCAAACCGAAGACGGGUAGCCGGACUGAGAGGUCGACCGGCCACAUUGGAACUGAGAGACGGUCCAGACUCCUACGGGAGGCAGCAGUGGGGAAUAUUGGGCAAUGGGCGGAAGCCUGACCCAGCGACGCCGCGUGAGGGAAGACAGCCUUCGGGUUGUAAACCUCUGUUGCAGGGGAAGAAGGAAGUGACGGUACCCUGCGAGGAAGCUCCGGCUAACUACGUGCCAGCAGCCGCGGUAAUACGUAGGGAGCGAGCGUUGUCCGGAAUUACUGGGCGUAAAGGGCGCGUAGGCGGCGCUUCAAGUCGUCUGUCAAAUGGAAGGGCUUAACCCUUUUUCGCAGACGAAACUGGAGAGCUUGAGAAGCAGAGAGGCAAACAGAAUUCCUGGUGUAGCGGUGAAAUGCGUAGAUAUCAGGAAGAACACCAGUGGCGAAAGCGGUUUGCUGGCUGCAUACUGACGCUGAAGCGCGAAAGCCAGGGGAGCGAACGGGAUUAGAUACCCCGGUAGUCCUGGCAGUAAACGAUGUAUGCUGGGUGUGAGACUAGCGAUAGUUUCGUGCCGAAGUUAACGCGAUAAGCAUACCGCCUGGGGAGUACGGUCGCAAGAUUGAAACUCAAAGGAAUUGACGGGGGCCCGCACAAGCGGUGGAGCACGUGGUUUAAUUCGAUGCAAACCGAAGAACCUUACCUGGACUUGACAUACACGCGGUAGAGAAGCGAAAGCGGAUCGACCCCUCCGCAAGGAAGGGAACGUGAACAGGUGCUGCAUGGCUGUCGUCAGCUCGUGUCGUGAGAUGUUGGGUUAUGUCCCGCAACGAGCGCAACCCCUAUUGCCAGUUGCUACCAGGUAAAGCUGAGCACUCCGGCGAGACUGCCAUCGACAAGAUGGAGGAAGGUGGGGACGACGUCAAGUCAUCAUGGCCCAUAUGUCCAGGGCGACACACAUGCUACAAUGGAUGGUACAGAGAGAAGCGAGACCGGAAGGUGAAGCAGAUCCCGGAAAGCCAUCCCCAGUUCGGAUUGCAGUCUG